GACGAACGCUGGCGGCGUGCCUAAUACAUGCAAGUCGUGCGGACCUUGUUGAAAGCUUGCUUUUAAAAGGUUAGCGGCGGACGGGUGAGUAACACGUGGGCAACCUGCCUGUAAGACUGGGAUAACGCCGGGAAACCGGGGCUAAUACCAGAUCGUUUUUUCCUCCGCAUGGAGGAAAAAGGAAAGGCGGCUUCGGCUGCCACUUACAGAUGGGCCCGCGGCGCAUUAGCUAGUUGGCGGGGUAAUGGCCCACCAAGGCAACGAUGCGUAGCCGAACUGAGAGGGUGAUCGGCCACAGUGGGACUGAGACACGGCCCAAACUCCUACGGGAGGCAGCAGUAGGGAAUCUUCCGCAAUGGACGAAAGUCUGACGGAGCAACGCCGCGUGAGUGAAGAAGGCCUUCGGGUCGUAAAACUCUGUUGCCGGGGAAGAACAAGUGCCGUUCGAACAGGGCGGCGCCUUGACGGUACCCGGCCAGAAAGCCACGGCUAACUACGUG
rnacentral:rRNA from 1 species